rnacentral:rRNA from 1 species
GCUGAUGCGUUGUUGGGUAGGGGAGCGUUCUGUAAGCCUGCGAAGGUGACCUGUGAGGGUUGCUGGAGGUAUCAGAAGUGCGAAUGCUGACAUAAGUAACGAUAAAGCGGGUGAAAAGCCCGCUCGCCGGAAGACCAAGGGUUCCUGUCCAACGUUAAUCGGGGCAGGGUGAGUCGACCCCUAAGGCGAGGCCGAAAGGCGUAGUCGAUGGGAAACGGGUUAAUAUUCCCGUACUUGGUGUUACUGCGAAGGGGGGACGGAGAAGGCUAUGUUGGCCGGGCGACGGUUGUCCCGGUUUAAGCGUGUAGGUGUGUGUUCCAGGUAAAUCCGGUUCACUUUAACACUGAGGCGUGAUGACGAGGCACUACGGUGCUGAAGCAACAAAUGCCCUGCUUCCAGGAAAAGCCUCUAAGCAUCAGGUAACAUCAAAUCGUACCCCAAACCGACACAGGUGGUCAGGUAGAGAAUACCAAGGCGCUUGAGAGAACUCGGGUGAAGGAACUAGGCAAAAUGGUGCCGUAACUUCGGGAGAAGGCACGCUGACACGUAGGUGAAGUGAUUUACUCACGGAGCUGAAGUCAGUCGAAGAUACCAGCUGGCUGCAACUGUUUAUUAAAAACACAGCACUGUGCAAACACGAAAGUGGACGUAUACGGUGUGACGCCUGCCCGGUGCCGGAAGGUUAAUUGAUGGGGUCAGCGCAAGCGAAGCUCCUGAUCGAAGCCCCGGUAAACGGCGGCCGUAACUAUAACGGUCCUAAGGUAGCGAAAUUCCUUGUCGGGUAAGUUCCGACCUGCACGAAUGGCGUAAUGAUGGCCAGGCUGUCUCCACCCGAGACUCAGUGAAAUUGAACUCGCUGUGAAGAUGCAGUGUACCCGCGGCAAGACGGAAAGACCCCGUGAACCUUUACUAUAGCUUGACACUGAACAUUGAGCCUUGAUGUGUAGGAUAGGUGGGAGGCUUUGAAGUGUGGACGCCAGUCUGCAUGGAGCCGACCUUGAAAUACCACCCUUUAAUGUUUGAUGUUCUAACGUGGACCCGUAAUCCGGGUUGCGGACAGUGUCUGGUGGGUAGUUUGACUGGGGCGGUCUCCUCCUAAAGAGUAACGGAGGAGCACGAAGGUUGGCUAAUCCUGGUCGGACAUCAGGAGGUUAGUGCAAUGGCAUAAGCCAGCUUGACUGCGAGCGUGACGGCGCGAGCAGGUGCGAAAGCAGGUCAUAGUGAUCCGGUGGUUCUGAAUGGAAGGGCCAUCGCUCAACGGAUAAAAGGUACUCCGGGGAUAACAGGCUGAUACCGCCCAAGAGUUCAUAUCGACGGCGGUGUUUGGCACCUCGAUGUCGGCUCAUCACAUCCUGGGGCUGAAGUAGGUCCCAAGGGUAUGGCUGUUCGCCAUUUAAAGUGGUACGCGAGCUGGGUUUAGAACGUCGUGAGACAGUUCGGUCCCUAUCUGCCGUGGGCGCUGGAGAACUGAGGGGGGCUGCUCCUAGUACGAGAGGACCGGAGUGGACGCAUCACUGGUGUUCGGGUUGUCAUGCCAAUGGCACUGCCCGGUAGCUAAAUGCGGAAGAGAUAAGUGCUGAAAGCAUCUAAGCACGAAACUUGCCCCGAGAUGAGUUCUCCCUGAGACUUAGAGUCUCCUGAAGGAACGUUGAAGACGACGACGUU